ACUGGGUGUUGUUAACAUAAUUUUCAGUUUGGUGAAAAUUUUUGACGGGCGUGCAAGCGAUUGGUUGAAGGAUUGCUUCCAAAUGAUUUCGCUCCAAACCAUCGGAAGCUCGUGAAGUCACCGAGAACACAUCAACCAGACCAAAGGGACGGCAGCACGUUGCGAACGCCUUCCGGAUCCCACCUUAAAAGGCCCUGGAAAACGCUCCUUUCCUCGCUCGACCAACUGAACGUGAAUUGUGUCGCUCGGAUUUGUAAUGUUGUGAUCUACCUAGUCAUAAGUUGUAUUUUAAUAAUAAAACUACGUUUCUUA